UAAACAGCGUAUUUCUCUCGCUUCGUAUCUAAGCAAUUCCACUCGUCUACCACAAACAUCAGCUUGUGCUUUGAAUACUCAAAAAUGCCUAUUAACUCUAGAAGCGAGUUUGCAGACAGCACCAAUUUUUGGGUUGAUUCAUCAUCCGCAAACGCGAGGAGGAGCGCCUCCUUCAAGACCGUUACAGGGUUUAGAGCGAACUGGUGUCCAACAAUGUAGACAAGUCGUCGACCAC
rnacentral:lncRNA from 1 species